rnacentral:rRNA from 1 species
CGGCACGCCUAACACAUGCAAGUCGAACGAAGUAGCAAUACUUAGUGGCAGACGGGUGAGUAACAUGUAGGUAUCUGCCCUUUGGCCUGGAAUAACACGAGGAAACUUGUGCUAAUACCGGAUAAGUCUUUACGGAGAAAGCUUUAUGCACCAUUGGAUGAGCCUGCACUUGAUUAGUUUGUUGGUGGGGUAAUGGCCUACCAAGACUGUGAUCAAUAGCUGAUUUGAGAGGAUGAUCAGCCACAUUGGGACUGAGACACGGCCCAAACUCCUACGGGAGGCAGCAGUGGGGAAUCUUGCACAAUGGAGGAAACUCUGAUGCAGCGAUGCCGCGUGAGUGAAGAAGGCCUUUGGGUUGUAAAGCUCUUUCGUCGGGGAAGAAAAUGACUGUACCCGAAUAAGAAGGUCCGGCUAACUUCGUGCCAGCAGCCGCGGUAAUACGAAGGGACCUAGCGUAGUUCGGAAUUACUGGGCUUAAAGAGUUCGUAGGUGGUUGAAAAAGUUGGUGGUGAAAUCCCAGAGCUUAACUCUGGAACUGCCAUCAAAACUUUUCAGCUAGAGUAUGAUAGAGGAAAGCAGAAUUUCUAGUGUAGAGGUGAAAUUCGUAGAUAUUAGAAAGAAUACCAAUUGCGAAGGCAGCUUUCUGGAUCAUUACUGACACUGAGGAACGAAAGCAUGGGUAGCGAAGAGGAUUAGAUACCCUCGUAGUCCAUGCCGUAAACGAUGUGUGUUAGACGUUGGAAAUUUAUUUUCAGUGUCGCAGCGAAAGCGAUAAACACACCGCCUGGGGAGUACGAC